AUAGUGAAAAUAAGCUUGGCGCCCCCUCGCGGCCCAAGUGCGCAUAUGCAUUUAACGUUGUUGUGCUGCGAUCUCUACAGGGGCGAUGAACAAAUCUUUGGCGAAUGUUGUGGCAUUAGGUGCUGACACGACCAACUCUCUCUGUCUGUCCCCAACAGUUUAUUUAUUUCGCAAGAAUUCCGUGGAGGAAACAUUUUUUUCCAUGUUUGAAGUCUUGCUUGGUGAUGGAAUGAGUCAUUUUCUGAAGCAAUGAGAUGGAAGGAACCUUCAUAGCAUCCAACAAACAAGGAUUUCUAUGAGGCAUUGUGUUUUCCACAUUGCAGACCUCUGUAUCACCAACUUAAAUGAGCCUCCACCUGUCCACCAUGAUUUCCCCCAAACUUAAUCCACACCUCUUCUUCAGGAAUUGCCCCAUCGUGAGUUGUGAGAAAUCCAUUCCUGUGGAAAGAUGAUGGAACAUGAACAUAAGGUCUGUGACUCUGCUCUGGACCUAGUGAAUCACUGUUGACUGUCCAUGGUUCAAGUGAGGAUUGGCAAACCUGGUCAUUUCUUGAUUACCUACAGAAUGCAAUUGCAACAUAUGCAAAAUCUUAUGCAGGAAUGGGGCUAUAGCAGUGAUGGGACACUACCUUUGACUGUGAAGAUCAGACGAUGCAAUUCCUGUUGGUCAGCCCCCCCCCCCCCCCCACCCAAGGAGCCAUGCACUGCCAGAGAUCUUGAGCCAGGUCUUCAGUGGUUAUCCAUUGAUAAGAAGAACGGAGAUAAUAAAGACAGUGAGGUAUCUUGUUGAUUUCGACGUGACCAUCUUCCUGACGCUUCUUCCAAACAAUGAAACUGGAGGCUCUUUCCACGAAUGAAUGUUUAGCUGCUUCAAGUGUGAUUCCAGCUUUUUCAAGAGCUUCUUGUUCUACUUCUACUGGCCUUUAUUGUAGUUAACAUGUCCUGUGAAUGUUUUUAGGAGGCCAGUUUUGCUACAAACACAGUAAACCUCAAGUUCACAUAUAGUUAAAAAACAGGGACUACUUGUAACAUUAUCUAGGAAAAAGUUCUACAAAUUGGACAUGGUGAAACUUUUCAUUCAUUAUGUUUUCAGUAUUUACUGAGGUACUCACUACAAAAG